UCAAAUUAUUUUUUAAUAAUCUCAAUUGUUAAUUAUAUUAACAUGUUGCUGACAAAAAAGUCAAAUGUUUGAUGCUGUUAUGAGCAAUGUUCGUGGCUUAUUAUUGCAAAAGUAGCCAAUAGACAGUUAAACUAUAUAACUAUUUAACCAUUAAACAAAUAUGAUUCCACUCUAAAUCGCUAAAUAUGUACAUACAGCUAUGUCAUAAUGGUGUGGUGUGCGUUUAUUGAUGACUUUUAGUAUUAUUUUUUAGUUGUAAAUUCAUUAUAACUGAACUGGCAAUUCUUUUUCAGGUUGUUCUGUCUAGCAGUCCAUGCAAAAGUAGUCCAAUCAGUCUUCCAAAAAAAUAAGCAUUUCAUUUGAAUUCCAAGAAUAAAAUAAAUUAUACGGGCGUGCCUUAUACAGAACGAGACGUCACUGUUUACUGUAUAUCUCUUAAACAUAUGGAGAAAUCAUACACUUUGACAACAUUUUCUACUGUGUCGAAUACACAAUGCAGCAAAAUCGAAUUCUAGUUGUCUUAAAUGGAUGUCACUUGCAUUAGUUGAUGACACGGCCAAAACAAUAUUAGACUAGUAUGAAAAAGUUUGUCUUACCCGCAGGGAGACAAGGCUAGGCAAGUCAGUAUCUGCAUUAAAAGAAAGAAGCAACCAAGACCACCAGAAAUUAUUAGAUAGAUUAACUAGGUUAUACUUGUAUGCAGCAACUAAGGAAUUACUAUUGUAGACAAUGUAGUAUAGUUGAAAAUGUAAGCAACCUGGCAAUUAAAUGGGUUAUUCCAACUGAUGAUAAAGAGACUUGCCAAAAAAAAACCAAGAUUGUUUUUUGAUGAAGUAGAUGGUGACAGAAGGAUAAAUAUCACAUAAGGUAAUUUUAAAAUAAAAGUAUUUUUACCAACUGUUGACACAAUAAUAUGUCAACUUAAAAAUCGCUUUAAAGGUUUAUUUAACGUUAGGAGCAUUUUCAAUUUUUUGAAACCUCAAACACUUUUAGGACCAGAUAAAAAUACUUUUAAAGGAUCAUAUGACUUUAUAUAAAUGUAUCAAUCAGAUAUAAGUUCUGAUUUAACAAGUCAACUGAUAUCAGUCAAAGAAAUUAUAAAAAAUAAGAAUUUGAAUAGUAUAUUAAUGCUUGCCUCAUUUAUUCUCGAAAACGACUUUGCUACGAGGUAUCCUGAUAUAUAAGGAGCAUGUAUAAUUUAGCAGAAAACAGUAGAAUAGUCUUUUUCAAAACUUAAAAUAAUAAAAAACUAUUUGAGUAACUAUUUACUUUUUUUGAAAACUAUUUACUCAA